GACGUACCAUUCCAAUCCCGUGGAAGAAUUUAUUUUCUCCUUGAAGUACAGUACCCUGCACAGAAAUUGGGACAGCGAUUUUUCUGUCCUAAACCACCUAGCGACUGGUCACAAAAAUAUAUGGCUGUCUUCAUCAUUCCCUGACAACUGAAAAGUGCGGAAAAGUGUCCCACACUGGAAGAGGGUGAGCUGGUUGAAGACGAGAAGUCUGUGGAUUUUGAUUACCCUGGUGGGGAUCAUGAUUUUUACGAGGGAGAUAAGGAUGACCAACAGAUGGAUGCCAAUUGACUAUAACAGUGACAAGGAAGACAAGCAGGGAAGUGGAAGGGAUGAGGAUGGCGAAGAUUCUGCUGAAAGUUUGUCAGAGGAUGAUGGGCAGCCAGAAGCCAAACGAAUGGAAAUUGAAAAAUGAAAAACGGAAAAAAAUGCAUCACCUACAAUACCUAUACUUCAGAUUUAAAAUUCUCGUUCUUAUAUUCCAUACCUGCCAUUUUUCUUUCUACUUCUUCGCACAAGU